rnacentral:rRNA from 1 species
GACGAACGCUGGCGGCGUGGAUUAGGCAUGCAAGUCGAACGGUAGGAUACCUUCGGGUAUCUGAGAGUGGCGAACGGGUGAGUAACACGUAGGUGAUCUACCCUCAAGAUUGGGACAACCCAGGGAAACUUGGGCUAAUACCGGAUGAAAGCAGCAGUGAUGUUGUUUGAAAGGUGGCGUAAGCUGCCGUUUGGGGAUGAGCCUGCGCUCUAUUAGUUAGUUGGCGGGGUAAAGGCCCACCAAGGCGAUGAUAGAUAGGCGGCCUUAACGGGUGGUCGCCCACACUGGGAUUGAGAUACGGCCCAGACUCCUACGGGAGGCAGCAGUCGAGAAUAGUCUACAAUGGCCGAAAGGCUGAUAGUGCGACGCCGCGUGAACGAAGAAGCCCUUCGGGUGUAAAGUUCUUUUAUUAUGUGAGCAGUGCUUUCUAUGUGAACAGCAUGGGGAGAGAGAUAUUAGCAUAUGAAUAAGCAACGGCUAACUCCGUGCCAGCAGCCG